rnacentral:rRNA from 1 species
CCUACGGGAGGCAGCAGUGGGGAAUUUUGGACAAUGGGCGCAAGCCUGAUCCAGCCAUGCCGCGUGUGGGAAGAAGGCCUUCGGGUUGUAAACCACUUUUGUCAGGGAAGAAACGGCCUUUACUAAUAUUAGGGGCUAAUGACGGUACCUGAAGAAUAAGCACCGGCUAACUACGUGCCAGCAGCCGCGGUAAUACGUAGGGUGCAAGCGUUAAUCGGAAUUACUGGGCGUAAAGCGUGCGCAGGCGGCUUUGCAAGACAGAUGUGAAAUCCCCGGGCUCAACCUGGGAACUGCAUUUGUGACUGCAUGGCUAGAGUACGGUAGAGGGGGAUGGAAUUCCGCGUGUAGCAGUGAAAUGCGUAGAUAUGCGGAGGAACACCGAUGGCGAAGGCAAUCCCCUGGACCUGUACUGACGCUCAUGCACGAAAGCGUGGGGAGCAAACAGGAUUAGAUACCCUGGUAGUCCACGCCCUAAACGAUGUCAACUGGUUGUUGGACGGCUUGCUGUUCAGUAACGAAGCUAACGCGUGAAGUUGACCGCCUGGGGAGUACGGCCGCAAGGUUGAAACUCAAAGGAUUGACGG